UAUUUCACCUAUUUGUUUAUGUAUCUCUUAUUUAAUAAUGCUAAUGUUUUGUAGUUAAUUAUAACAAAGUAGUGUUGUUUUUAUGUUGUGUGCUAUAUAGAAAAAUAAACUAGUACCAAAAGCAUUUAAAUCAUUGCUACCAAUGCUUGAACACUUAGAAGACACAGGCAUACCUAAAAUUUUAUUUACAUUUACUGGACAUGUAAGUAAUUUUUUAAUUUUUAUCAAUACUAGAAACAAUAAUUUUUAUUUCCAGUAGGCCAUUUUAGAUAGGUUUAUAAUAAAGAUGCUUAGUAUUGCGUUAAUUUGUGUUUUUUUUUAAAUUUUUUUUUAACAAAUUUAAUAGAAUCUAAAAAUGUUUAAAAUAAAUAUAAAACCACCACUAAUUAUUACACUCAUAGGCCACUAUGAGACACUAUGGAUACUAUUUCUAAAUAAAGAAACAAUAUUAAUUUUAUUUCUUUAGGUACAAAACUUGGUAGAUGAGUUGGUUAAUAUGACAUCAGUUUUGGAAAAUAAACAAAACCAGCGCUCUAGAAUUUAUGAAUGGAUUGAAGAAGAAUUGGCUAUUUUGAAUAAAAUGAAGGAAAAACUAACUAGGAUUAAUGUAGAAACAACUGCUCAAGAAAUUAAUAAUUUAAAUGAAAUGUUACAAAAUAUUAGUGAAAAACAAAUCGAAAUAUCCGAAAUAGUAUCAGAUAAUUCAUCUGAUAAACUUUAUAAUGAUUUAAACAAUUUGACAAAUAUGGUAAAUCAAUCAAUUACAAUUUGUUUAAAUUAAUAUAUUUCUUUAUAAUAUUAAUAUUAAAUAUCAUUAUUAUAUAGUUUAUAUUAAUUUAACUUAUGAAUUAAUAUAAAUAUAUUAAAUAUAUAGUAUUAUUAUAAUAUAUGUAUAAUAAAACUAUGUAAUACAAUAAUGCAUUACACAGUGAAGUAUUAGUAUUUAAUAUUUGAAUAUUAUAGUAAAAUCAUAAAUUUGUAAAUUAAAAUGUAUAUUAUGUAUAUGAGGUCUUAUGAGAAUUAAUUUAUAAUUUCCCCUGUUUUUUAUAGACAAGUGAAAUACUUUUGAAAAAACAAUCUGAUCAAAAAUUAUUAUUAGAUUUUAAAAAUAGCGAAACAGAUUUACAAAAUUGGUUUGAUAAUUUAUCAAAAUGUAUUGAAUCCUUGGAAAAAGGUAGUGGAUAUACUUGUCAACAAAAAUUAGAACUAUUUAAUGAACUUAAAGAAAACUAUGUUAAUAAUGGAGAAAAACUUGUCAAUAGUUUAAGAACUAACUCUCAAAAUUUAAAAGUAGUAGUCAGUAUAGUAGAUGCUCAACUACUUGAAGAUCAGGUAGCCUGCUUAUUUAUUUAUAAUUUGUAUUGUAUUUUGUUAUUGAUCAGGGCCGGAUUUGACGGGGGGGCAUUAAGGGUAUAUGCUCCGGGCGCCCAAAUUUUAGGGGCCCCAACACUCAAAUCAAAAAAAAUAAAAAAAUUGCAAUUUGGGUUCUCAAACUAUAUUUAAAAAAAAAUAUAGUUUUGAAAAUAAAAAUUAUUAGGUAUAAAAUAUAAAUUAAAUUGUAUUACAAUAUACUACAGUCGUUAUUAUUGCAUUAUCACGGUGACAUAAAGUUGCGAAUUGAAUAAUUACAUGUGUAUGUUUAUAAAAAUCAUAAUGUAAUCUAUCACAAAUCACAAUGUAAAAUGUUGGAAAAUUCAAGACGUCAUAAUCAUUAUCGGCUUAUCGUUGUUUAUAGCUUUUAUGCCUUUAUUGUGAAUUAUUUAUUAUUUUGUACAUUCCACUUUUCGACUAAAUCUCGUUAUUUCAUUAUAAUCAGCCAAGAAUACUCAUGGGCCUGUACUGUAUAUAUUUUUAUUAAUAAAAUAAAUAAUAUAUUACUGUAUGACUUGUUCAAUUUAUUUAACAUAAAUAGUUAUUUUUAGUUCUAACUAUAAAUAUAUUUUACGCAUGGUAUAAGUUUAGGUAGGUAUGCAAUUUUUGUUAUGGACCAUUUAGGGCCCCAAAAUAUUUUUGCCCUGGGCCCCCUAAUGUUUAAAUUCGGCCCUGUUAUUGAUACAAUAUUUAUUGAAAUUUAUUAUACCUAUAUUUUAAAAAUUAUUAACUACAGAAUUGAAAUUAAAUUACCUAACUUAUUUUGAUUACAGAUGAAAUCGGCUGAUCGACGGUAUAGAGAUUUUUGGACAAGAAUGGAAAGAAAAUAUGAAAUUUUAGAAAAUUCAAAAACUAAUCUACUUUACGUUAGAUCUAAAAUAGAAGAAAUUGCAGAUUGGAUAAAUAAAAAAACAGAUAACUUAAAUGAAAAUAAAAUAAUAAGUUAUGAGAGUAACAUAAUUGAAAAAAAUUUGAUUGAUUUGAAAAACAUGAACAAAAAAGCAAAAACAAACAAAAUUUUCUUAACCGAUUCUCUAGCAGUCAAACUUAAUGCAAUAGAGCUUGAAUCAGAACCAAUUGAAUUCAAUGACCUUGAAGAAAAAUUGUAUAAACCCACAGUUAACAAAUUAGACAAUUUAAUAACAAGUAAUUAUAAAUAUUUUUAAUAUUAUUUUAAAAAUAAUAAUAAAUUUUAUAUUUUUGAAUAUUUUUGUUCUAGGAAUAAAUGAAAACUUAUUUAAAACUAAAAACAUGCAUGAAGCCAGUCAAAAGUUUGAAAAUACACUUAAUGAGUGUAAUCUCUGGUUAGAUCGUAGUGAAAAAGAUCUUUCACCAGAUAAAUAUAAAGUUGAACCUUUAGAAUUGAUUCAAGCAGAGA
rnacentral:lncRNA from 1 species